AAAAAGGGCUUCUGUCGUGAGUGGCACAUGUAGAGCAGCUCAAUUGCUCUUCGUGUGGAAUUGACAUCAAGGGAUUUCGGAAGCAUAAUUUUUUGGUGCCCAGGCAGCUGGUGAUCCUGAAAGAAAAAAAAAAGGGCCAAACACUUAGCCAAAUAAGCAACCAGGUGCCCCU
ensembl:snRNA